AUGGGCGGCAGUUUUCGAAAUCUGUGCCUGAAAUCACUCGCAGCGGUGCUCUCUUCCCAUUCCAUCUUCGUCCUCGCCAGCCUCUCCAUCGAACGGGCGCGAUACGGGGGAGGCGCGGCGGAGUCCUCAAGUCGGCAGCGGCUUGCGGGUGGCUCUCCACAGGGGGAAUCGCUGGUGCUCCUCGGCGUCGAAGUUGACAUCACUGGUUACCAUUUGUGCAGGCAGGAGUUGCUGGAGGAGAUGCCUCAUCUUCCGCAGCAGAUGUUGAGGGGAAGGAUCCAUGUCGAUGCUGACAGUGUUCAUAGGGUAUUUGAUCUCCCAAACAGGGGUCAAAAAGUCAGAUAUGUAGUUGACAAGGAUGCAACUAGGAGAUUCAAAGAGGCUUUCAACAUAGCUGGAAAUUCUCAUCCCCAGAUCAGUACAUGGUGCAAGAUGAUUAAGGAUAUGGGGGGAAAAACGGAUGAUACAUUCUUUAUGGCCUGGCUUGCGGCUGCAUUCAACACUUUUCUAGCAACAACCACGGCCCUGAAGCUGAGCCCAAAGUGCUACGGACUUGUGCUAGACCAUGAAAUGCUCGAGAACACAAACAUCCGCCUCUUUGUAGCAGAACACAUAAAUGAAGCUUUUCGGAACAUGGACCAGGAGAAGCAAACCGUUUGCUGCUGCUUGUAUCACUUGAUGGAGUAUAGGGGCACGGAGCAGACACCACUAUUUGGUGGUCUUUUGCAAGCUGAAGCAUUUGUGGCAUCCAAGUUGCCACUAACCUACAAUCCGCAGGCAAAGAUUGCCAAAGUGGUUAAUGACCUGUGCAAGGCAGUAACCGAACAGAGAUGGGUUUCACCUAUACAAGAAGAAGAGUUUGUUGAGGUGGAGUCAGAAGAAGAUGAUGAAAUGGAAGUAGCACAAGAUGUUGAAGAUGACGAUGACAUAGAUGAGGAUGAAUCAGAGGAGGAGGACAAAGAGGAGGAUGACAAAGAAGAAGAAGAGGAGGAGGAGGAGGAGGAGAAAGAAGACGAGGAGGACAAAGAAGAAGAGGACAAAGGAGAGGAGGAGAACAAGGAAGAAGAUAAUGAGGCAGAGGAGGAGGAGGAAGAAGAAGAUGAGGCCAAAGUGGGGGAUGGAGACAAAGGUGCAGUAGCUGAUGGCAGUGAGGGGGAAGGAGAUGACGAGGAUGUUGAUCGUGAUGAUCAAGGGGGAUCCAAUGGAGACAGUGACAGCGACGAUGACAAGGUCCCUGGUUCUGGGGGUACAGGCGGCAACACAACUAGGGGGACUAGCAACACUAUCAACCCUAGCAGCGACAGCAACUCAAUGAGCAGUAAGAGCACACUACAGAUGUGGAUGGAUAGAAGUUGCUGGAAAGAUGAGCAUUUUCCGAAGUCAAAGAAAAAUGACGAAGCAGAGUCUCAGGGGAGCAUUGAUAUGUUCAAGCUGUGCAACUUGAAGCCAGCUUUGCCAACCACUUUCCCCGUGCUAGACUUUCAUCACCAAGAGAUGUGAAAGGGUCUUGACUGGGUUCAUUCGAAGGCAAAAUACAAGGAAUAUUUGAAGCAGCUUCCAGGUAUAAGCUCCGGCAAGAGCAAGGCAGCAUCCGUGGCAAACCCUCAUGUGGUCCAAAAGCGCAAAGCAGUUUCAAUGAGGAAGAAUCUAAAGUUGCCUCAAAGAAAGCAACAGAUGCUAAGGGCAAAUGCUGAAAUAAAUGUGGAGAAGGAAGUUGUGGUGCCAACUAUUGUGCCAACUGUAGUGAGCAGAGAGCCAACCACCACUCAAGAUGUGACAACAAUGCAUGUAGAGCCUACAACCAUCACAGGAGUUCAACAGAUCAAGGGGAAGACUCCUCUUUCAGCAGUCCCACCUAAACCAGCUAAGCAGCAAAAGAUUGUCAAGUUUGCCAAGGGAACAGGGCACAAAAGCGGGGUCACAGUCAAAACUUCCACUGCUGAUCAGGAAGACACCCCUGCAACUGCAAGCCCCAAGGUGCCAACUCAUAGAGAUACUUCAAUGCCAAACAUGGAAGGAGGUGAUCAAACUGCCAAACUGCAGUCUCCAAGAGCUAACACACAGCAUCCAAGCAAGCCUGCAUCACCAAGAGCUGACUUUCAGCACACAUUAACACAAGAGGAGGUGUUCAACAUUGUAAGCAGGUGCAAGCCUCCUAGGCCGCCAACUACAACAUUAUUGCGAACCAAGUCAGCGAACGAUGCACCUGUGAAUGUGCCGCAAGGAGAUGCCCUGGGCCUUCAAUCCAUACGCAGAUCAAACUCUUACAGCUAUCAUGGUGACGGGUACUACGAUGCACCAACUUUUGACCUGGGCAUAGAUGGUGAUGCUGAGCCUGCUGCAGCACUUGCUCCAGUAGCACAAACAGGGGAUGCCAGUGUGAUUAUCAUAGAUGAGGGUGAGUUGGACCCAGCAACUGUGAAUGAAGGAUGCGCUGCUGCUGAUGCUGGCGAGGGAUUAGCUCACCAGCCAGAUGUUGGAUCACCAGACAGCUGCCACACCCCGAUAUGCAGAGAACCAGCAGUUGGUACGGUCAACAAGCUUUACGCUGCCCUCUUGUAUUGGGUCAAGCAUCACCCAGGAGCAAAUGAUGCUGAUACUAGCCCUGAGAUAAUUAGGUAUGGUGCUUUCUACAUUUCUAUAAAGGAGUUAGUUGAUUCCAUGAAGCCUGUUCAAUGGCUGUCAAGAAUUGUUAUUGAGACUGGAAUCAUACACUUCAUGGAUAACUUACCAGAAGGGUCAAAGAAGAUCAAUUUACAGCAAGGGAUCCACAAUGUGACUGAGAUAAACAAGAAGUUUGAAUACAAGAACCGUCUCAACAAGCAAGACUUGGUCAUGCUGCCAGUGCUUGAGUGCGCUGAUAUAAACGACCGCGAAGGAGGUAGGCGUUAUUGGGUCUUCAAUGUCAACUUGAGGGAUGGACGUUUCGAAGGUCUUGAUUCAAGCAGGAAGCUAGACAACAUUGAGUUGAUGAACACCGCCUCUAUCAUCGCGGGGGCAGUAUGCCAGCUAUGGAGGAAGCAUUACCCAAAGUCCAGCAUCGAGCACUUCCAGAUUAUUGGCAUCGACGUACCGAAGCAACACGGCAACAAGGAGUGUGGGCUGUUCGCACUGCUUAACGCCACUGAGUGGAACGGUAGCCAACUACCCAACUAUGAUCCCAAGGAAUUACUCAACAUCAGGAAGAAGCUGGCAUAUGAUUGGGUCACCAGCGUGCACAACUCCGCCCCAUGGAGGAAGUUGUUGAGAUAUGACAAGAACUAG
rnacentral:rRNA from 1 species